UUUAUUUUAAACAUAGAGACGGACUAUUAUAAGAGGCUGUUGGUAAGCAGUUCUUGUAGGAUGUUACGGUAGUAGACUCCUUAGCUCCUUGUAGGAUUAAUGCCGGGUCUGUUUGUAACCCUGGUACGGCUGCCGCUGAAGCGGAGGAGCGAAAAAAUGACAAAAUCAAAGAUCUUGUAGAUGAUGGAUAACUUUUGAGAUUCAGGGCCAGGGAGUUCAAUUCCGGUUCUAUUUCCGGGGGGUCAAUUCCAAUUCCUUGUAAUUCAAUUCCAAUUCCUGGAGAGACUAAAAUUCAAUUCCAAUUCCUGGCUACUUUCCGUUGCCACAAUAUCACCUAGGUUGCAAACUCUGCAAACUCAAGUUGGAUUUCAGAUACCAAGCAUAUUGAAAUAGUACGAUUGAUCAUGUAAUUUAAGUUUGUUUUCAAGCAUUUUUACGUUUAUUAAGAUUAAGACCGAGCCAUUUUUCAAGAUAUCAGUUUUAUUUGACAAUUUUUGACGUCAAUUCCAUGUCAAUUCCAGCCAAAAAUUCAAUUCCCAUUCCCGAAACUGGAAUUGACCCCAAUUCCCAAUUCCUGUCAAUUCUCAAUUCCAACAAAAGUCAAGUACUUGAAUUCCCUGUUCAGGGCGCGGCCGGCCCCAGCGCAGAAAUUUUUUUGAGCAAGCUUUGUAAGAACCUAAGCAUAUACACUGAGGAACACAGAGCAGGCAGCUUUUUUUUAAACGGUCUCCCUGGCAAUACAGACUGCGAACGCUGCUUGCGUACUCGGAACAAAAAAUGACAAAAUAACUGACGAAAUUUUUUAGUUGUAACACUUGUUUAUUAUAUUUUCUCGUGUCGAGUUGCGUGUUCUAAUUGAAGAAACGUAACCCGUAUCGAUUUUAAUUGAAAAGGACUUCAACACUUGUCAUCUCCUUUUAUCAUUAUCACUUCCAUAUCUAGAAAAUUCCAAGGAUUUUGACUAAAAUACGUAAUGAAGGGACUCCUGACUGUAACCUCGGUUACUAUGACACUUUUGACCUUCUGAUUAUCCUUUUAAAAAGAGGAGAAGAGAAAAAAACAUCAACACUAAUCAUCUCCCUUUUAUAAUUAUCAUUACCAAAAAACUAAAUUACAAAAGGGGCCCUUCCGUUUAGUUACGGCAAGUGCACAAGCUGGAUAGGGCCAUACCAGCGGUAUCAAAAUGCAUAUAUAUCAGCAAUGAAGUCAUAAAUCAGCAUUAAAUGCAUCGUCAUAAUGUUAAUUUAUCUUAGCCGUCCUUCCUCUACAAUAGCGCUUAUGGAGUUGUCGAUAAAUUGAACUUUGCGUAGCGAUCUGCACCCCCUUAUACAAAGUAUAGAGCUCCUCAGGAGCGCGAAGCUUAUUUUAGUUCUUAAAUACUUGAUUACCAUAUCUUGAAAAUUCCAAAGAUUUUGACUGGAAUAUGUGAUGAAGGGACUCCUGACUGUAACCUUGGUUACUAUGAUACUUUUGACCUUCUGAUUGCCUUAAAAAACGUAAUCGAUCUUAACGAAAAUCUAAUUAAUCUAUAACAUUCAUCUUUUGAUCAUUUGAGUUGCUCAAGGUCACCCAUAUUGUUUUAAUUUUUUUUGACCUACUGAUGAUGUUCAAAGAACUGUUUUCGGUGGAUGUCUGUCAAUACAAGUUACGCUGAAAUUAAACCAUCCGGAAAGCAUCUGAUUGAGCGGAAGCUACGUAAAACCUAUUUCAAGUUAGAAGAGCCUAAUUUGAAAUAUCAACCCAUUGUGUAUGAAACGGAAUCAUGGCCCAGAAUUGAUCUCAAUACACCCCGAGGAUAUUGUCCGUUUAUCUGUUCCCGCGAGGAGCACCUAGAACGACAAAAGUUAAAUAGAGAACCUGGCAAGGGAUUGCCGGGUACUUACAUACAGAAAGAUAGAGAGCUUAUCAAACGAAUCAUUACUUUUUGUGAGUGUUGCUCAGUUUCACUUAACAACCUGGCUAACCAUCUUGAGUCUGAAAGUCAUAAGGAUUUCGUAUCCAAUGAGAAGUACUUUCUCCUAAUUGAUAGCCUUUUGAAGGAAAUAAACAAUACCGGACAUUUUUUCCUCUGUGUUUUUUUUGACCAAGAGUUUGCAUUCGAGAGAAGUCUCCUCAAUCAUGAAGGAUCAGUUGAAAACACGGAUCAAGCAGAAAACAAAGAAAACUGUUCUUCCGAGCCGAUUCCUCAAGAAGGACUGGAUUGUUUGAGUAAAGGUGACAAAAGCACUUGCAAUAUAGGGCAAACAGAUUGCAGAGAAAAGGACAGUUUCAAGCAAAUUGGUAAUUCUGGUAUUCGGGCAAAAGAAACUUAUCAGAUAGACUCAAAAUUCUCAAAACCGAAAACGCCGGCAAUUGAGAAAGUUUUGAGCUCUGCUUUUUCUCUUCAAAACUUCAAUAUUUCGGUUUCCCCCGGGUCUAUGAUUAUUACACUGGGAAGAAACAACCCGAGUUCUACUGGAAUUUGCAAUGAUAUAAGGUCGAAUACUUGUGAUCUGAGAAAGCGAAAAAAACGACUUUUCAGUCCAAUCAAGGGUGAUCAGAUUGUAGACAGAUCGAGCAUCAUCCAAGAUGUAAAGAGCUUACGAUUAAUUCGGAGCGGUUUUGCCGAUUGGGGAACGAACAAAAAGACGCGCAGGAUUUGUCAUUCGACAUCUGUCAAGAAGCAUCAAACAAAUAUAAAUAAUUCAAUUACGCAAAAUUUCCAUACUUUUCUGAAAGGUCCCGCUGACGAUUAUCUCGUUGUGAAGUCCGAUGACACUACUCCUGAAAUAAGUGAGGAAUCUUUCACAGACAGCUCGGAAAACUUUCUACGUGAUCGAGGUCUCGUGGGUUGUAGCGAAUACGAUUCUGAGUGCGCUUUUUCGCCACAAAUUGGGACAAAACAGAGUAAAAGAAACAGCAACAGUGUCUUCAAUUUCGACCAAUAUGAUACUCAGAAGGAAACAGAAGAAGGGCAAUUCGAAGAGGCAAGCAAUGAUCAUCUUUCGAAAAGAUGUGUGGAGUUUGGGGCUGAGGGGUUGUUGGACUUAAGAAGCCGUCAGCCGUCAGCCAUCUCGUCUCGCGGGCAGGGAAAAGAAGAGUUGAAAAAAGGUCAAGGUUCCCCUCGUGAUUCUAGUUAUACGCAACCGAAACAAGAGAAGAAGAAAACCGGAUCUGCAAAUAUCAAUGCGAGGAGAUGCAAAAAUAAAAUUUAUAUUGCGUUCAGGAAGUUGAAUGAAAAAAAGUUCGACGUUGAAAACUUGGACUCGUUUGCUUUUCAAAAACUUGGUUUGAACUAAUCUUUAUUUUUUUGGCGGUUGAAAGAAUGAAUUUUUUUUGAUGAUCUAUCCAGCUCAAAAGUAGACGCUAUGAGCGGUUACAUAGUUACUUAAUGUCAAAUUCAUUUGAUUUUUCAGGUUUUAUUCGCAAUCGAAACUUCGAUUUUUGUCUAAACUGCAUGAUUUGGAAAGUUAAAUUGCGUCAUGUUUUAGGGGGCAAAAGUUAUUGAGAAAACAUUCAAUCCAACAAUGAAGGUGCAAGAGUCUAGCAAUAACCAUUCACGAAAAUAAACGGCAAACUAGCAAA